rnacentral:rRNA from 1 species
ACGCGAAGAACCUUACCUGGACUCGAAAUUUUGUUGACAGUCUCAGAGAUGAGAUUUUCCCGCAAGGGACAGCAGAAUAGGUGCUGCAUGGCUGUCGUCAGCUCGUGUCGUGAGAUGUUGGGUUAAGUCCCGCAACGAGCGCAACCCUCACCCUUAGUUGCUCGUCCGCAAGGAAAGCACCCUAAGGGAACUGCCUCGGAUAACGGGGAGGAAGGUGGGGAUGACGUCAAGUCCUCAUGGCCUUUAUGCCCAGGGCUACACACGUGCUACAAUGGCCGGUACAAACCGUCGCUAACCCGCGAGGGGGAGCCAAUCGGAAAAAACCGGUCUCAGUUCGGAUUGCAGGCUGCAACUCGCCUGCAUGAAGCUGGAAUCGCUAGUAAUCACGUAUCAGAACGACGUGGUGAAUACGUUCCCGGGCCUUGUA